AUGCGCUGCUAUACAUGCAGUCGACGCUUCUUUCCUCCCGAGUGCUUGCACUCAAUUGGAAAGAGGAGUGGCGGACGGGUGAGUAACACGUGGGUAACCUACCCAUCAGAGGGGGAUAACACUUGGAAACAGGUGCUAAUACCGCAUAACAGUUUAUGCCGCAUGGCAUAAGAGUGAAAGGCGCUUUCGGGUGUCGCUGAUGGAUGGACCCGCGGUGCAUUAGCUAGUUGGUGAGGUAACGGCUCACCAAGGCCACGAUGCAUAGCCGACCUGAGAGGGUGAUCGGCCACACUGGGACUGAGACACGGCCCAGACUCCUACGGGAGGCAGCAGUAGGGAAUCUUCGGCAAUGGACGAAAGUCUGACCGAGCAACGCCGCGUGAGUGAAGAAGGUUUUCGGAUCGUAAAACUCUGUUGUUAGAGAAGAACAAGGACGUUAGUAACUGAACGUCCCCUGACGGUAUCUAACCAGAAAGCCACGGCUAACUACGUGCCAGCAGCCGCGGUAAUACGUAGGUGGCAAGCGUUGUCCGGAUUUAUUGGGCGUAAAGCGAGCGCAGGCGGUUUCUUAAGUCUGAUGUGAAAGCCCCCGGCUCAACCGGGGAGGGUCAUUGGAAACUGGGAGACUUGAGUGCAGAAGAGGAGAGUGGAAUUCCAUGUGUAGCGGUGAAAUGCGUAGAUAUAUGGAGGAACACCAGUGGCGAAGGCGGCUCUCUGGUCUGUAACUGACGCUGAGGCUCGAAAGCGUGGGGAGCAAACAGGAUUAGAUACCCUGGUAGUCCACGCCGUAAACGAUGAGUGCUAAGUGUUGGAGGGUUUCCGCCCUUCAGUGCUGCAGCAAACGCAUUAAGCACUCCGCCUGGGGAGUACGACCGCAAGGUUGAAACUCAGAGAAAAAGUUAGACGGGAAA
rnacentral:rRNA from 1 species